CAGAAUGGUGGAACCAAAGAAACGUGACAAGUAUGUUUAAUACAGGAUCCUGCAUAAGAUACUAGUACAGAGAAAACAAACAAACAAACAAAAGACCGUUGUUAAUGAAGCUGGUGAAUUUUGAAUAAGGAUGCUGACUAGUGCAAUCCAGUGCUAGGGUUAGACAGUAAGAGCAGUCACUCCUCCUUUGUCCCUGAUCUUAGAGGGAAAACAUUCAGUCUUUGACAAAGAGGAACAAUGUUUUUUGCACCUUUUUACAUCCCAAGCAGAGUGGAUGUCCAGCCACUCCUUGAUCAUUCCUUUACUAUCCCUUUUAGGUACAUCCUGGGCACCUGGGGAGAAAUUGGAAUGGCCAAUGUCAUCCAUCAGGUGCGUCUGGCCUCAGAGCACUGGGAACGAUGGCUCCGUUGUCUUCUAGCUGAUCCACACGAGGGUUUGGCCAUUUGAUCAAAAGUGAAUUUUCUUGCUUCCUCUAAUGACAGUAAACUAGUGUUAAAUA